rnacentral:rRNA from 1 species
CCUACGGGUGGCUGCAGUGAGGAAUAUUGGUCAAUGGACGGAAGUCUGAACCAGCCAUGCCGCGUGCAGGAUGACUGCUCUAUGAGUUGUAAACUUCUUUUAUACGAGAAUAAUAGGUCUUACGUGUACUGCUUUGAAUGUAUCGUACGAAUAAGGAUCGGCUAACUCCGUGCCAGCAGCCGCGGUAAUACGGAGGAUUCGAGCGUUAUCCGGAUUUAUUGGGUUUAAAGGGUGCGUAGGCGGUUUGAUAAGUUAGAGGUGAAAUCCCGCGGCUCAACCCUGGAAUUGCCUUUGAUACUGUCGGGCUAGAGUAUAGUUGAGGUAGGCGGAAUGUAUGGUGUAGCGGUGAAAUGCAUAGAGAUCAUACAGAACACCGAUUGCGAAGGCAGCUUACUAAACUAUGACUGACGUUGAGGCACGAAAGCGUGGGGAGCAAACAGGAUUAGAUACCCGGGUAGUC